UACAGAGGGGGCAAGCGUUAUUCGGAAUUAUUGGGGCGUAAAGGGCGCGUAGGCGGCUUGGCAAGUGGAUGGUGAAAUCCCUCGGCUUAACCGAGGAACUGCCAUCCAGACUGCUUUGCUUGAGGCCGGGAGAGGUGAGUGGAAUUCCCAGUGUAGCGGUGAAAUGCGUAGAUAUUGGGAGGAACACCAGUGGCGAAGGCGGCUCACUGGACCGGUUCUGACGCUGAGGCGCGAAAGCGUGGGGAGCAAACGGG
rnacentral:rRNA from 1 species